AUUGAACGCUGGCGGCAUGCCUUACACAUGCAAGUCGAACGGUAGCACGGGAGCAAUCCUGGUGGCGAGUGGCGAACGGGUGAGUAAAGUAUCGGAACGUGCCCAGUCGUGGGGGAUAACGUAGCGAAAGUUACGCUAAUACCGCAUACGAUCUAUGGAUGAAAGCGGGGGAUCGCAAGACCUCGCGCGAUUGGAGCGACCGAUAUCAGAUUAGGUAGUUGGUGGGGUAAAGGCUCACCAAGCCGACGAUCUGUAGCUGGUCUGAGAGGACGACCGGCCAGAAGGGGACGGCGACACGGCCCAGACUCCAGCGGGAGGCAGCAGUGGGGAAUUUUGUACAAUGGGCGAAAGCCUGAUCCAUCCAUGCCACGUGGAGGAUGAAGGCUUUCGGGUUGUAAACUGCUUUUGUACGAAACGAAAAGGUUUGACUUAAUACUUUGGACUCAUGACGGUACCGUAAGAAUAAGCACCGGCUAACUACGUGCCAGCCGCCGCAGUAA
rnacentral:rRNA from 1 species